UCCGAGUUGACCCCGGCAGUCUCCCAUGAGUCCCCGGCAUUACCCGCUGGCAACAUGGAACGAGGGUUGCGCUCGUUGCGGGACUUAACCCAACAUCUCACGACACGAGCUGACGACAACCAUGCACCACCUGUACGCAGCCCUUGCGGACCCGACAUCUCUGCCGGAUUUCUGCGUAUGUCAAGCCUUGGUAAGGUUCUUCGCGUUGCGUCGAAUUAAGCCACAUGCUCCGCCGCUUGUGCGGGCCCCCGUCAAUUCCUUUGAGUUUUAGCCUUGCGGCCGUACUCCCCAGGCGGGGCGCUUAAUGCGUUAGCUGCGGCACGGAGGACGUGGAAAGUCCCCCACACCUAGCGCCCAACGUUUACAGCGUGGACUAC
rnacentral:misc_RNA from 1 species